rnacentral:ncRNA from 1 species
UGUCUCCUCCACCCUCCUCCAAAGGUGGAUUGAGCCCGAGGUGAAAACCUCGGGCUUUUUUUC